rnacentral:lncRNA from 10 species
CAGGCGUGAGCCACCGCGCCUGGUGGAAAAAAUAUAUUUUCUAUUCAUUAAGUGGAAGUGAAGAGAUCGUCAUAAAGAUCUUCGUGUUGAGAAAGCAGAGGAGGAGGAAGAGGAGGGAUUGAUCUUGGUGUCUCACAGCUGAUAGAGGCAGAAGAAAAUCCACAUAUAAGUGGACGCGUUCAGUUCAAACCGUGUUGUUCAUGGGUCAACUGUACUUUGAAAAGUGCUCCCUCUGGUGGCUGUGGGGGGUGCAGGGAGACCAGAACAGUCUAGAUGCUGGUGCUGGGUAGUGGGG